UACGUAGGGUGCAAGCGUUGUCCGGAAUUAUUGGGCGUAAAGAGCUCGUAGGCGGUCUGUCGCGUCUGCUGUGAAAAUCCAGGGCUCAACCCUGGACCUACAGUGGGUACGGGCAGACUAGAGUGCGGUAGGGGAGAUCGGAAUUCCUGGUGUAGCGGUGAAAUGCGCAGAUAUCAGGAGGAACACCAAUGGCGAAGGCAGCUUGCUGGGCUACUCCUGACACUGAGGUACGAAAGCGUGGGGAGCGAACAGG
rnacentral:rRNA from 1 species